GUGCUUGGUUCAGCAGCACAUAUACCAAAACUGGAAACAAUACAGGGAAGAUUAGCAUGGCCACUGUGCAAGGAUGACAUUCAAACUCAUGACAUUCAAACUCCCUAUUUUU
ensembl:snRNA U6 U6 spliceosomal RNA